CCAGCGACUUAAUUUAACGAGCAAGCUUAAGCCGAUAGGCGUAGGCGUAGCGAAAGCGAGUCUUAAUAGGGCGUCAAGUUCGUUGUAUUAGACCCGAAACCUAGUGAUCUAGCCAUGAGCAGGUUGAAGGUGAGGUAACACUCACUGGAGGACCGAACGGGUGUCUGUUGAAAAAGACUCCGAUGACUUGUGGUUAGGGGUGAAAGGCCAAUCAAACUGGGAAAUAGCUGGUUCUCCGCGAAAGAUAUUUAGGUAUCGCCUCGGAUGAAUACCUCGGGGGGUAGAGCACUGGAUGGGCUAGGGGGACUUACCGUCUUACCAAACCCAACCAAACUCCGAAUACCCGAGAGUACUAUCCGGGAGUCACACGGCGGGUGCUAACGUCCGUCGUGGAGAGGGAAACAACCCGGACCUACAGCUAAGGCCCCUAAUUCGUGGCUAAGUGGGAAAGGAUGUGGGAAUCCCAAAACAACCAGGAGGUUGGCUUAGAAGCAGCCAUCCUUUAAAGAAAGCGUAACAGCUCACUGGUCUAAAUAAGGGUUCCUGCGCCGAAGAUGUAACGGG
rnacentral:rRNA from 1 species